CAUAACGACUCUCGGCAACGGAUAUCUCGGCUCUCGCAUCGAUGAAGAACGUAGCGAAAUGCGAUACUUGGUGUGAAUUGCAGAAUCCCGUGAACCAUCGAGUCUUUGAACGCAAGUUGCGCCCGAAGCCUUCUCGGCUGAGGGCACGCCUGCCUGGGCGUCACGCA
rnacentral:rRNA from 2 species